rnacentral:rRNA from 1 species
AGUGAACGCUGGCGGUAGGCCUAACACAUGCAAGUCGAACGGCAGCACAGUAAGAGCUUGCUCUUACGGGUGGCGAGUGGCGGGCGGGUGAGGCAUACAUCGGAAUCUACUUUUUCGUGGGGGAUAACGUAGGGAAACUUACGCUAAUACCGCAUACGACCUACGGGUGAAAGCAGUGGAUCUUCGGACCUUGCGCGGUUGAAUGAGCCGAUGUCGGAUUAGCUAGUUGGCGGGGUAAAGGCCCACCAAGGCGACGAUCCGUAGCUGGUCUGAGAGGAUGAUCGGCCACACUGGAACUGAGACACGGUCCAGACUCCUACGGGAGGCAGCAGUGGGGAAUAUUGGGCAAUGGGCGCAAGCCUGAUCCAGCCAUACCGCGUGGGUGAAGAAGGCCUUCGGGUUGUAAAGCCCUUUUGUUGGGAAAGAAAAGCAGCAGGUUAAUACCCGGCUGUUCUGACGGUACCCAAAGAAUAAGCACCGGCUAACUUCGUG